rnacentral:rRNA from 1 species
CCCUUAGAUGUUCUGGGCUGCACGCGCGCUACACUGAAGCGUUCAACGAGUAUUCACCUUGCCCGGGAGGGUUGGGUAAUCUUUUGAAAACGCUUCGUGAUGGGGAUAGAUUAUUGCAAUUAUUAAUCUUCAACGAGGAAUUCCUAGUAAGCGCGAGUCAUCAGCUCGUGCUGAUUACGUCCCUGCCCUUUGUACACACCGCCCGCCGCUCCUACCGAUUGAGUGAUCCGGUGAAUAAUUCGGACUGCAGCACUGCUUGGUCUCCAGGCUUUGCAGCGGAAAGUUUAGUGAACCUUAUCACUUAGAGGAAGGAGAAGUCGUAACA